rnacentral:rRNA from 1 species
GAUGAACGCUGGCGGCGUGCCUAAUACAUGCAAGUCGAGCGAACAGACGAGGAGCUUGCUCCUCUGACGUUAGCGGCGGACGGGUGAGUAACACGUGGAUAACCUACCUAUAAGACUGGGAUAACUUCGGGAAACCGGAGCUAAUACCGGAUAAUAUAUUGAACCGCAUGGUUCAAUAGUGAAAGACGGUUUUGCUGUCACUUAUAGAUGGAUCCGCGCCGCAUUAGCUAGUUGGUAAGGUAACGGCUUACCAAGGCGACGAUGCGUAGCCGACCUGAGAGGGUGAUCGGCCACACUGGAACUGAGACACGGUCCAGAGUCCUACGGGAGGCAGCAGUAGGGAAUCUUCCGCAAUGGGCGAAAGCCUGACGGAGCAACGCCGCGUGAGUGAUGAAGGUCUUCGGAUCGUAAAACUCUGUUAUUAGGGAAGAACAAAUGUGUAAGUAACUAUGCACGUCUUGACGGUACCUAAUCAGAAAGCCACGGCUAACUACGUG